GAUGAAGAACGCAGCGAAAUGUGAUACUUGGUGUGAAUUGCAGAAUCCCGUGAACCAUCGAGUCUUUGAACGCAAGUUGCGCCCGAAGCCAUUAGGCCGAGGGCACGCCUGCCUGGGCGUCACACGUCGUUGCCCCCCCCAUCUACUCCUUCGGGAUUGCGGGGGGCGGAUGAUGGCCUCCCGUGCGCCUCGCCGCGCGGUUGGAAUAAAUGCCAAGUCCUCGGCGACGCACGCCACGACAAUCGGUGGUUGCGAAACCUCGGUUGCCCGUCGUGUGCGGUCGUCGCGCAUCGAGGGCUCGAAAAAAUUGCCGAGUUCCGGCUCGGCUUUCAACGCGACCCCAGGUCAGGCGGGGUUACCCGCUGAAUUUAAGCAUAUCAAUAAGCGGAGGA
rnacentral:misc_RNA from 1 species